AAACUUUCAACAACGGAUCUCUUGGUUCUCGCAUCGAUGAAGAACGCAGCGAAAUGCGAUACGUAAUAUGAAUUGCAGAUAUUCGUGAAUCAUCGAAUUUUUGAACGCACAUUGCGCCCUUUGGUAUUCCAAAGGGCAUGCCUGUUUGAGCGUCAUUUC
rnacentral:rRNA from 1 species